rnacentral:rRNA from 1 species
AUGUCUUCUUCCUCCAGUUCGGCUUCCUUCUCUAGCUUGAACAACACAAUCUCUGAACCUCUUAGCCGCACCAACUACAUCCUAUGGCGUGCCCAGGCUCGCUCUCAGAUCAUGGGAGCCGGUCUCUACGGGUACCUUGACCAAACAACUCCUGAACCUACCAAAAUAAUCACGUCCAAAAACUCUGAAGGAAAGGAAUAGAUUGUUCCAAAUCCUGACUAUGCCCCUUGGUUAAUCCAAGACCAGCAGAUCGUAACCUACCUGCUGAGAAACCUCUCCAAAGAAAUCCUAGUUCAGGUUGCCUCGAUGGAGACAUCGCAUGCAAUCUGGACAUCCCUUGCAAACAUGUUCGCA